CCAUCCCGCACGGGAGAGCCCCACUUGCUGGGGCGCCGAAGGGGCAAUUCCUCCCCGGAAACUCUCAGGCACCCACGACUGUGCGGACCAG
rnacentral:ncRNA from 1 species